UGCACGUUCUUGGCGUUAGCCGGCACGUUGCCGGAACGACAAACGGCACGACCUUGAAGCUAAGCUGAGCGCAUCCGUAUCAACGCAAUCGCGAAUCACGUCCUUCAAACUGCACAUAAAAUGGUCGUUCGGGCCGGUCCAGCUUUUACCGCAAAACCG
rnacentral:lncRNA from 1 species